rnacentral:rRNA from 1 species
GUUAUAUGGUCAAGUGAAGAAGCGCAUACGGUGGAUGCCUUGGCAGUCAGAGGCGAUGAAAGACGUGGUAGCCUGCGAAAAGCUUCGGGGAGUCGGCAAACAGACUUUGAUCCGGAGAUCUCUGAAUGGGGGAACCCACCUAGGAUAACCUAGGUAUCUUGUACUGAAUCCAUAGGUGCAAGAGGCGAACCAGGGGAACUGAAACAUCUAAGUACCCUGAGGAAAAGAAAUCAACCGAGAUUCCCUUAGUAGUGGCGAGCGAACGGGGAUUAGCCCUUAAGCUUCAUUGAUUUUAGCGGAACGCUCUGGAAAGUGCGGCCAUAGUGGGUGAUAGCCCCGUACGCGAAAGGAUCUUUGAAGUGAAAUCGAGUAGGACGGAGCACGAGAAACUUUGUCUGAACAUGGGGGG